rnacentral:lncRNA from 1 species
ACAUGAUCCUUUGCAGGAAGCCGAUCACCUGAUUGAUUGAUCUCUCUUUGAGAGAGAGAAAAAAACAUCUUUUUUAUGUUUUUGUUUAUCCGUCUGUGACUGCGCUGCGGAUCACGUUUGAAUAAGUUUUUGUUUGUUGUUUAGGUAAGAAUUGCUUAGUCAAUUUUGCUGUUAAAUGGAAGAUCAUUGAUGGGUUUUUAAUUUCAUUUCUUAUUCCCUACUAUUACAACUGUAACAGAACUCAAUCGGCCUAAGAUUUAACUUUUUUUUUUACAAAGAUUUGCAGAGCGCAAGGACUGUCAACCAUGAUAAGGGAGGAAUUUCAAUAAUAUAAAUAUCAGGAUGGUUUAUUUCACAUGGUAUCAGACCACAGACGCCGGAAUAGAGUAUUACAAUUCCUGUUUGGCUUGAAUGAAUGAUUUAUACCAAUAAGUGAACAGUUGCUCUCAUCUAGUCUAGUGAAGGUUUGCCAAGUUUAAGCAAAGUUUUCGCAUUAAUUUAAAAAGAUGAGAAACAUACAAGUUUUCACAAGAGGAAAAUUGCUGAGGUGGGCCAGUGUAUACUAUGUUCAAUCAGAUCAGUCAAAGAAAAGUAAUCAUCAGAAAAAUCAGAUUACCAAGAAUAACAGUAAACCUUAUUUUGAAUUUUGUAUAAAUGAGAGAAAAUUGAACAUAACUUGUGGUGUGAACAUUGUCAAAGGCAUGUUUGUUAUAAAUUGGUUGGGUAUCCUAAGAGAAAUAAAUAUGAGAACAAAGACAAAGGGAAGACCCCAGAAAUGGCUCUUCAAGAGAUGAUUAAACAGUCAUCCUCAUGUAUGAAUCUAUGUGUUUAAUGUAAAUGUUUCAAAUUCAAUAAAUUACAUAGAUGAAUUUCGAAUAUUAUUAAAUACAGGCG